AACGAACGCUGGCGGCAGGCUUAACACAUGCAAGUCGAGCGCCCCGCAAGGGGAGCGGCAGACGGGUGAGUAACGCGUGGGAAUCUACCCAUCUCUACGGAAUAACGCAUGGAAACGUGUGCUAAUACCGUAUACGUCCCUCGGGAGAAAGAUUUAUCGGAGAUGGAUGAGCCCGCGUUGGAUUAGCUAGUUGGUGGGGUAAAGGCCUACCAAGGCGACGAUCUAUGGAUGGUCUGAGAGGAUGAUCAGCCACACUGGGAAUUAGACACGGCCCAGACUCCUACGGGAGGCAGCAGUGGGGAAUAUUGGACAAUGGGCGUAAGCCUGAUCAAGCCAUGCCGCGUGAGUGAUGAAGGCCCUAGGGUUGUAAAGCUCUUUCACCGGUGAAGAUAAUGACGGAAACCGGAGAAGAAGCCCCGGCUAACUUCGUGCCAGCAGCCGCCGUAAAAC
rnacentral:rRNA from 1 species